CCUACGGGAGGCUGCAGUGGGGAAUAUUGGACAAUGGGCGAAAGCCUGAUCCAGCCAUGCCGCGUGUGUGAAGAAGGCCUUCGGGUUGUAAAGCACUUUCAGUGGGGAAGAAAGCCUUGGGGCUAAUACCCUCGAGGAAGGACAUCACCCACAGAAGAAGCACCGGCUAACUCCGUGCCAGCAGCCGCGGUAAUACGGAGGGUGCGAGCGUUAAUCGGAAUUACUGGGCGUAAAGCGCGCGUAGGCGGUCUGUUAAGCCGGUUGUGAAAGCCCCGGGCUCAACCUGGGAACGGCAUCCGGAACUGUCAGGCUAGAGUGCAGGAGAGGAAGGUAGAAUUCCCGGUGUAGCGGUGACAUGCGUAGAGAUCGGGAGGAAUACCAGUGGCGAAGGCGGCCUUCUGGACUGACACUGACGCUGAGGUGCGAAAGCGUGGGUAGCAAACAGGAUUAGAUACCCUUGUAGUC
rnacentral:rRNA from 1 species